rnacentral:rRNA from 2 species
GCAUAUCAAAAAGCGGAGGAAAAGAAACUAACAAGGAUUCCCCUAGUAACUGCGAGUGAAGCGGGAAAAGCUCAAAUUUAAAAUCUGGUGGUCUUUGGCCAUCCGAGUUGUAAUCUAGAGAAGUGUUAUCCGCGCUGGACCGUGUACAAGUCCCCUGGAAUGGGGCGUCAUAGAGGGUGAGAAUCCCGUCUUUGACACGGACUACCAGGGCUUUGUGAUGCACUCUCAAAGAGUCGAGUUGUUUGGGAAUGCAGCUCAAAAUGGGUGGUAAAUUCCAUCUAAAGCUAAAUAUUGGCGAGAGACCGAUAGCGAACAAGUACCGUGAGGGAAAGAUGAAAAGAACUUUGGAAAGAGAGUUAAACAGUACGUGAAAUUGUUGAAAGGGAAACGCUUGAAGUCAGUCGCGUCUGCCAGGGAUCAACCUUACUUUUGUGAGGCGUACUUCCUGGUUGAUGGGUCAGCAUCAGUUUUGGUCGCUGGAUAAAGGUCAGAGAAAUGUGGCACCUUCGGGUGUGUUAUAGUCUUUGAUCAGAUACAGUGGCUGGGACUGAGGAACUCAGCGCCGCAAGGCUGUCUUAGGAUGCUGGCAAAAUGGCUUUAAUCGACCCGUCUUGAAACACGGACAAAAGGAGUC